rnacentral:lncRNA from 1 species
GCGGAUUUAACGAUUCGGUGCAAGGGUGGAUUGCGUCGAAUUCGACGGCAGCGAUGAGUAUUUCUCUUGUCUCACGCCUCCGAUGAAUAUUUGAUUGCGCACUGUGCCUCCUACUUCCAAGCUCCAAUCCCAGGUUCGCAUCUCCGGCUAUCCCAUCCUUUUCGUUUAUUAAUGUAUAUGAUUUUCCGUUUUAGCUUUUAGUUUCUUAAAUUUAGUUUAGCGAGUUAGAGAUGGGUAGAUGGAUUAUCGAGGCCAGCGACAUAACAAAAAAUAGUUGUGGCACACAUUAUAAAACUUAGUAGCACAUACUAUAUAACUCUAGCAACGUGUUGAAUCAUCUUUAACCGGUUCAAAACAGUUGAUUAAUUAUCUUGAUCUCCACGGCUUGGUCCUCUUCAUUGUCCGUAUUUAAAUGACCCUCUAAAUCCUCAUGUGAUAAACGGAUCCUCUCCAGCUCCAUUGAAACCUCUCUCAUGUUUGGUCGUUUCCUUCCUUUCCGGCUUAGACACCUUCUAGCUAGUUUUGCGACUGCCAUCACUUGGUCCAGCUUGCUUUGGUCUUUGAUCCGAUCAUCAAUGAUGUCAAACCCUCUGUUUUCUUUCAUGGCCUCAAGAAAAUCAGCUGCCAAUCCUCUUCCUUCUUCAGACCGGACACGAGUCAAUGGUUUUUCUCCGGUUAUGAGCUCCACAAGUACAACCCCAAAACUAUAAACAUCGCUCUUGUCAGUAUAUUGGCUUGACAGAAAGUACUCUGGAUCCAUGUACCCAAAAGUGCCUGCAACUAAUGUUGUCAAGUGAGUUUGAUCUACUGUUAUCGAUCUCGAAGUUCCAAAGUCAGACACCUUGGCUCUGUAUUUCUCAUCCAAUAGUAUAUUAGUAGUUUUGAUAUCUCUAUGGUAUAUUGGAAAAGAUGCUGAUGAGUGCAUGUAUGAAAGGGCUCCAGCAAUCUCUAUAGCUAUGCCAAGACGUACUUCCCAAGUCAUGUUGUAAUCUUCAGACUCAUCAUGAAGACGCUUGAACAGAUCUCCAUUUGGAAUAUAUUCGUAAACAAGGAUCGGAACUUCUGUCUCUAGACAACAUCCCAAGAGUUUCACAAUGUUCCUAUGGUUUACCUGCGAGAGAAGUGCGACUUCAUUGAUGAACUCUUGCAUCUUGUCUUCGUCCACAAGUUUCGAUCUUUUAACCGCGACGAUCCUCCCAUCCACCAGCAUUCCUUUGUACACCGUGCCUUGACCUCCUUUCCCAAGGACCCUGUUCACGCUGAAGUUAUCCGUGGCUUUCUUCAAUUCCUUUGAGCUAAAGAUCCUCGACAUCUCUACGUUCCCGUCUUUCGUGGUGGUUAGUUGUUGUUUCAACAACAAGCCUCCAUUACGUUUAAAAAACUUCUUGCUGUGGAUGAUCUUCCUUCGCUUUUUCACAAGUUUGUACAGCCCCAAGAGUCCUAGGACGAACAACAACACUCCUAGACCUAUAAGAACACCUACACCAACGAAGAAAGUAAACUACUUGUAGUAGUCUCGUAGAUGCUUACUUUAACUUACCUUGAAGCACAGAGGUCUUUUGAGGCUUGGUUACGAUGGGAUUGCAGCUAUAUGAUCCAGGCCAGUUCACACAAGUCCUUUCUCCACAAAUGUUGUGUCCUUUGCAUUCAUCUAUGUCUACACACAUUUUUAAUCAUACUAAUUAAUGACUUGAUCAUAAUCAAAGCAUGAAAAAAAAAAAUUAAGAAGAAACGUUCACUUUUACCUAUGCAGCCGUGUUUAACGUAUGGGUUCCCUGUGUAGCCAUUAUUGCAAUAACAGUUCCUAUAACUCAUCCCAGAGAAGUACUGAUAUUCGCAACCGCAUUUAUCAAAUGAGGUGUAAGAACUGUAACGCGUCAUAUUUCUACAACCUAAGGGGCUCCUAAAGCGAGAAUCCGAAGUAUCAAAGUACCAUCCUAGCUCUACCAACGCAUACCCCAACGAAUGAAACUGUUCUGGCGCUGUUACAUUCAUCGGUGAGUACCUCUUGUUAGUCAAGAAGGCAACUCUGCACCCUUCUCCUCCUGUGACAUCUAUAUUCACACCUAUAACUUGUGGACGUUCUAAAGGUAUCCUCGCCUGGCAACAUCUGAAACCAUCGCAGACCGAGUUUGUUACUUGCUGACUACGUUUACUGUCUUGGCAGCUCGAUUCACAACCUAUGAUCUCUGAUUCUAUAUCUGUAAGAGAUGUCUUGGCACCGCAACCAACCGCCACGAGACGGUUUUGGUCUGUGAGAAAAUAUGGACUGCCUCUUCCCGUGACAUUCAAAACUGGCGUUGACUUUUCUAGUCCUUGACUAGAGCAGCCCAAAGAAGUCACGGGACCUUUGAUGUGAACCGCUCCGUAUGGUUUAUUACCGUCUGGAAGAGAGAUGUUGACCAAUUCGGUGUUGAUCCGUGAGAGGAACGGUACGGUGGUGUUACAGACAACCUCGUACCAGUUGUUGAGAUAGCAGUCUUUCUCGCCUAUUCCGAAAGGGAAGGGGAUAGAGAUUCCUCCACAGGUUCUAAUACACGAAGUUGAAGAGUUACCUUCUGAACGUGGAGGUGGUGUUGCUGCUGAGGAUGAGCCAUUGAUGAGCUGCAGAGUUAGGACAUAAGCUACAAUACAUAGAAAGUUGUAAGAAGCUGUCUUCAUACUUGUGUUUGAUUCCAAUCGAUAUUUUUUUAAUGUAGAUAAAGAAAUCUUUGAGAUAUCCUAAUAAGAAGUCCACUAACGCAUUCAAAGAAGUUUGAAUAUAGACGCGUGAAGUGUUUUCAACCAGAAAAAAGAAGUCAACUCCGUUUGGCCUCUUUCAUUUCAAUCAUUGUACCGUUGACUUUUCCACUUAAUGUGUG